rnacentral:tRNA from 1 species
GCGGAAAUAGCUCAGUGACUAGAGCGCUUGUUUAAUAUUGUCUGCUAUCCCCAGCUUGGUAAUAUUGGAUAAGAGGACGGCAGUUCAAUUCUGUCUUUCUGCACCA